UACCACAGGGGCUAAUAACACAUACAGAUCCCAAGUGUUAUUUUAUCUUUUACCACAGAAGAUUGGAUCAAAAUAUCAUACAGGCAUUGAGAAGCUACAGCUAGCCUAGUAGAUCUGUUCUCUUCUACCACCCCAUCAUCGCCACCUACAGCAAAAAAAAGCACAUAUAAAGCAGCGUUAAAAACCAUAGAAAACAAACAGGCAUAAAAGCACAUAGAUUCAUGUUUUGUUUUGGUCAUGGGAUUGUUUACUGCCCAAUAAGGUUAUCUUCAGCGGUCCUACUAAUCACAUCUCCUAUUUUAAAUUUUACUCUACAAACAAUAAGAGGCGAUAAAUGGGAAAGCAGAGAGAGUAAACAACAGAACUCUCUAUCUUAGAGUACCAGUAGUCCCAGCGUGGGUUUAUCUUGGACGUUUGGUUUACCCCGUAUGGGUACUGGGACCGGGAGUGGCGAGCGUUCCUGAAGGCACAACACCCGCAUGAGCAGAUGCAGACGAGAGCGGCGAGCACGGCGACGUCGAGCACAAAGAUCUUGUGCCAGUCUUGGCGCACCUGCUCCAUCACGCCGGCCCUGCACGAGUCGCACCGGUAGCAGAGGAUGUCCGGGGCGUUCCACCGGUAGGAGUCCUCGUCCUGCGCCCCGACUGGCAUGCCUCCGCUGUACUGGCACGCCGUCGGCGGCUUGCAGGAGCCGGACUGCUCGUACGACCGCCGGUCCUUCUGCUUCUCCUCCUUCUCCUGCUCGCGCUCGCGCUCGUCGGAGGCUGCGCCGGUCGAACACGUACGACCGCCGGUCCUUCUGCUUCUCCUCCUUCUCCUGCUCGCGCUCGCGCUCAUCCUCCGACGAGCCCUCGCCGCUGCGGUCGUCGGCCUCGUGCCUGCUCCGCUCUUGCCGCUUCUCCCGCUCCUCCUCCCUGCACUGCUCCAGGCACCGGGGGCGCUGGUGCCAGGGCCGGUCCUCGCACCGCCGCACGUCGUGUGAGGGGGAGCAGGGGAAGGGGAUGAGGUGCAGGGAGGAGCGGAGCGUGCGGCGGCGGCUCCUCAAGGCGUCGCUGCCCAGAAGGGGGAGAUGAAGCGUCGUAUCAGGGGGGAAAGGGGAUGAGGCGCUGGUUCUGGAAGCGUCGCGGAGGUCAGUUUCCGUCCGUGGAGCUUUGAGCGGAGAGCUUUACGAGCGAGAGGAGACAUCAACCGGUGAUUGACGAUCGGAUGGUUCAAAAAAAUUUUGACGACGUGGAUGGACUGUGUUACUCCGAUUGAAAACAAAUUGCUGUACCAUACCUGAUACCAGUUUUGCGACCAAUAACAGGUCAAUGUGAAUAUGUUCUGCGACAAUCAAUGCCAAUAAUAGAUGAUCACCGUGAGUUAUUAUGCCUGUAUGAGAUUUUCUCUCUGUUUUUUUGUCUGUGUAUUUUGUUUUAUGUGCCAAAAAUGGGCUGCUGUCGGAAUUCCAGUGAACAUGUCUCUGAAACAUUGCUGAAUAGCCUGCCCCCGAUUUGACUUCAGUGUAAAGGAAUCCAGUGUAAUCACAUCAUAAGUUAUGUCCAGAAGACAGUACCUAAUGAGAUAGAGAAGCCACACCAACAGUAGAACAGGCAUAACUGAUAGCUUCUUGUGUGGUUUGGUUUCCCCCAUAUACAUGGAACCACUUCUGUCCUGGAUUAAAAUUCUACAUGAUACAAUGCUGGCUACCAUAUUGAAGGGGAAAAAAACUAGGCAUCUCUUUUACUUCAUGGCUUAGGGGGUGUUUGGUUUCUAGGGACUAAUGUUUAGUCCCUAGAUUUUAUUCCAUUUUAGUUUCAAAAUUGCCAAAUAUAGAAACUAAAACUUUAUUUUAGUUUCUAUAUUUAGCAAUUUAUACACUAAAAUGGAAUAAAAUCUAGGGACUAAACAUUAGUCCCUAGAAACCAAACACCCCCUUAGUCUCCUCUUAACUCAAAUAUCUAUAGAAACUAAACUCUGCAGACCUGGAAACAAAUAGAGUACCACAGGGGCUAAUAACACAUACAGAUCCCAAGUGUUAUUUUAUCUUUUACCACAGAAGAUUGGAUCAAAAUAUCAUACAGGCAUUGAGAAGCUACAACUAGCCUAGUAGAUCUGUUCUCUUCUACCACCCCAUCAUCGCCACCUACAGCAAAAAAAAGCACAUAUAAAGCAGCGUUAAAAACCAUAGAAAACAAACAGGCAUAAAAGCACAUAGAUUCAUGUUUUGUUUUGGUCAUGGGAUUGUUUACUGCCCAAUAAGGUUAUCUUCAGCGGUCCUACUAAUCACAUCUCCUAUUUUAAAUUUUACUCUACAAACAAUAAGAGGCGAUAAAUGGGAAAGCAGAGAGAGUAAACAACAGAACUCUCUAUCUUAGAGUACCAGUAGUCCCAGCGUGGGUUUAUCUUGGACGUUUGGUUUACCCCGUAUGGGUACUGGGACCGGG
rnacentral:lncRNA from 1 species